AGUAAAUAAUGUAAAUAAAAAGGUAAAAUUAAUUUUUUUAUUAUUUUUGUUUUUUGUUUUUUUAUUGUUGUGUUGGGUAUAAAAAGAUUUCAUUUGUAGAAACUCAAUUCAAACCCCUCUUUCUUGUGUUUCCCGUUACCUUCAAGUACCACUACCAGUCUCAUAUGUAUCAUACAUGAUUUAAUAUGUUUUUCUCUCAGGAUCUUUUAUGUACCACUGUUAAGUGUUUAGCACAGACCGUACUCUAAU
rnacentral:lncRNA from 1 species